GGACGGUUGCUAACAAUUUUAAAAAGUAGCGAAUAGCGAUUCACUGUUUGAAAAGUAGUCGACUAUUUUGCUACUUUUGAGCAAAAUGUAGUUCGCUACAACUACAACUACUGUUUUACAAAAGUAGUCAAAAACUACUGGCUACUUGAAAAUUGUAGUUCGCUAUAUUAUUAUAUAUUAUGAUUAUGAUAACUUUAUUGAAGUGUAAAUAAGUUUUUAAUUAUAGCAAUUAAAAUAAUACAUUUUUGUUUUUUAACUUGUUUACUGCUAAUAAUUUUUCAAAAAAGUCAAAUACACCCUUCCGGAAUGUAUUUCACCUUGGCUAUCACAGGAGCCUCAUUUUCAUGUAUGUGGCAUGAGUUAACCAAUGUCUCAAUUGUGAAAAUGAGUGCCAAGGUGACAUCAUUUCUGGAAGCAUGUAUUAAAAUACAGUAUGUCAGUUCAGUUUCCAAAGAUAUGUGUGGCUUGGUACUGUAACUUGCCACCGAGCUUGCCACCCAGAAAGGGGAGUGUCAUUGUGGAAUAAAUC